rnacentral:antisense_RNA from 1 species
UAUUGUCAGAGAAUAUGACACAUAGCAAAGGUAAUAUUCAAAGUCAUCUGACAAGCAUUGGGCAGGAUGAUGUCCAACAUUAAUGCUCUGCUACUCAUCUAGCCACUGACCCUGGUCACUCAAUAUUCAAGACCUAAUGAAUGGAAAGUGGAAGAUGCAUUUUGCCUUCCUUUUGCUUUUGAGGUGAGUCUCUGUGGGCCACCACGCAUGAGGACAUUCAAGCAGCCUUAUGGAGCAGUUCACAUGGAGAGAAACCAAGGCCUCCUGCCGACAGCUAGCACCAACUGGCCAUAUAAAUGAACUACCUUGAUCAUGAAUGCAGACUCUCUAAAGCCUUUACAUGGAUGCAACCUCAUGAGAGACCCCUGUCCAGAAGAACACAAUUAAGCUCCUGAAUUCCUGACCCACAGAAGAGCUGUGAGAUACUAAAUGCCUAUUGUUGUUUUAAGCCACUAAAUUUUGAGGUAAUUUAUUAUGUGGUAAUAGAAAACUAAGACAUGAAUAUACACUAACCCUAAAAUAAUCUCAAAAUCCCUUCAUGUUGUCCAGGUAGUACCAUUAAAUGUGACCUGCAUGUUCUCAUAA